UCAAGUGACUAAGUGCAUGUGGCGGAUGCCUUGGCGAUCACAGGCGAAGAAAGACGCGGCAGCCUGCGAAAAGCUGCGGGGAGCUGGCAAACGAGCUUUGAUCCGCAGAUAUCUGAAUGGGGGAACCCACACCGCAAGGUGUAUCCGUAACUGAAUACAUAGGUUACGGAGGCGAACGAGGAGAACUGAAACAUCUAAGUAUCCUCAGGAAAAGAAAUCAACCGAGAUUCCGGCAGUAGCGGCGAGCGAACCCGGAGGAGCCUAGCUUUUGAUAGUACGAACUUUAGCCGAAAGGUCCUGGAAAGGCCUGCUAUAGUGGGUGAUAGCCCCGUAGGCGAAAGAGUUGGUACGGUACUAAGGAAGCGAGAAGUAGAGCGGGACACGUGGAAUCCUGUUCGAAGACGGGGGGACCAUCCUCCAAGGCUAAAUACUCGUGAUCGACCGAUAGUGAACCAGUACCGUGAGGGAAAGGCGAAAAGAACCCCGGGAGGGGAGUGAAAUAGAACCUGAAACCGCAUGCAUACAAACAGUAGGAGCCUCGUCAGAGGUGACUGCGUACCUUUUGCAUAAUGGGUCAGCGACUUACAUUCUGUGGCGAGCUUAACCGAAUAGGGGAGGCGCAGCGAAAGCGAGUUCGAAAUGAGCGUCCAGUCGCAGGGUGUAGACCCGAAACCAGAUGAGCUAUCCAUGGCCAGGUUGAAGGUGUGGUAACACACACUGGAGGACCGAACCGACUAGUGUUGCAAAAUUAGCGGAUGAGCUGUGGAUAGGGGUGAAAGGCCAAACAAAUCUGGAGAUAGCUGGUUCUCCCCGAAAACUAUUGAGGUAGUGCCUCGUGUGUCGCUCCAGGGGGUAGAGCACUGUUUUGGCUAGGGGGACAUGGAGUCUUACCAAACCAAGGCAAACUCCGAAUACCUGGAAGCGUAAGCACGGGAGACAGAGCACCGGGUGCUAACGUCCGGACUCAAAAGGGAAACAACCCAGACCGCCGGCUAAGGUCCCAAAUAACAGCUAAGUGGAAAACGAAGUGGAAAGGCCGUGACAACCAGGAAGUUGGCUUAGAAGCAGCCAUCCUUCAAAGAAAGCGUAAUAGCUCACUGGUCGAGUCCUUCUGCGCGGAAGAUGUAACGGGGCUAAGCUGUUAACCGAAGCCGCGGAUGCACUGGUUAUCCAGUGCGUGGUAGGGGAGCGUUCUGUAAGUCUGCGAAGGCGGUUCGAGAGGACUGCUGGAGAUAUCAGAAGUGCGAAUGCUGACAUGAGUAACGUUAAAGCAGGUGAAAAGCCUGCUCGCCGUAAGCCCAAGGAUUCCUGCUCUACGUUCAUCGGAGCAGGGUGAGUCGGCUCCUAAGGUCAGGCCGAAAGGCGUAGCCGAUGGGAAUCAGGUUAAUAUUCCUGAACCUGCGUCAGAUGCGAUGGGGGGACGGAGCAUGGAAGAUCAUCCGGGUGUUGGAAGUCCCGGUUGUUGAGCGUAGGAGGUCUGCAGGCAAAUCCGCAGACGCAUCUCCAAGGCAAAGACACGUGCCGCCACGGCGGCGAAGUGAUCGGAAGUGCUUCCAAGAAAAGCCUCUAAGCCCCAGUCUGACGCGGACCGUACCGCAAACCGACACUGGUGGGCGAGCUGAAUAUGCUCAGGCGCUUGAGAGAACUCGGGAGAAGGAACUCGGCAAAUUGACACCGUAACUUCGGAAGAAGGUGUGCCGUAGUACCGUGAGAGGAGAGACACCUUGAGCGGGAAACGGUCUCAGAGAAUAGGUGGCUGCGACUGUUUAUUAAAAACACAGCACUCUGCAAAGUCGAAAGACGACGUAUAGGGUGUGAUGCCUGCCCGGUGCUGGAAGAUUAAUUGAUGGGGUGAGAGCCCUUGAUCGAAGUCCCAGUAAACGGCGGCCGUAACUAUAACGGUCCUAAGGUAGCGAAAUUCCUUGUC
rnacentral:rRNA from 1 species